CCUACGGGAGGCAGCAGUGAGGAAUAUUGGUCAAUGGCCGGAAGGCUGAACCAGCCAAGCCGCGUGAAGGACGAAGGUGCCAAGCAUUGUAAACUUCUUUUGUCAAGGGACAAAAUCAGGCUCGAGAGCCUGACCGGGGGUACUUGAAGAAAAAGCAUCGGCUAACGCCGUGCCAGCAGCCGCGGUAAUACGGAGGAGGCGAGCGUUAUCCGGAUUUAUUGGGUUUAAAGGGUGGGUAGGCGGACUGUUAAGUCAGCGGGAAACGCCCGGGGCCCAACCCCGGCGGGCAGUUGAAACUGGUUGUCUUGAGAGGUCGAGAGGGAUGCGGAAUGCGCGGUGUAGCGGUGAAAUGCGUAGAUAUUGCGCAGAACUCCGAUUGCGAAGGCAGCAUACCGGCGGCGAUCUGACGCUGAGGCACGAAAGCGUGGGGAUCGAACAGGAUUAGAUACCCCAGUAGUC
rnacentral:rRNA from 1 species